AGUGGCGGACGGGUGAGUAACGCGUGAGAAUCUGCCUUGGGGUCGGGACAACCACUGGAAACGGUGGCUAAUACCGGAUAAGCCGAUUGGUGAAAGAUUUAUUGCCCGAAGAGGAGCUCGCGUCUGAUUAGCUAGUUGGUGAGGUAAGAGCUCACCAAGGCAGCGAUCAGUAGCUGGUCUGAGAGGACGAUCAGCCACACUGGGACUGAGACACGGCCCAGACUCCUACGGGAGGCAGCAGUGGGGAAUUUUCCGCAAUGGGCGAAAGCCUGACGGAGCAAGACCGCGUGAGGGAGGAAGGCUCUUGGGUUGUAAACCUCUUUUCUCAGGGAAGAAGCUCUGACGGUACCUGAGGAAUCAGCCUCGGCUAACUCCGUGCCAGCAGCCGCGGUAAUACGGAGGAGGCAAGCGUUAUCCGGAAUUAUUGGGCGUAAAGCGUCCGCAGGUGGCGAUUCAAGUCUGCUGUCAAAGCACGGGGCUUAACUCCGUAAAGGCAGUGGAAACUGAAUAGCUAGAGUGCCGUAGGGGUAGAGGGAAUUCCCGGUGUAGCGGUGAAAUGCGUAGAGAUCGGGAAGAACAUCGGUGGCGAAAGCGCUCUACUGGACGGCAACUGACACUCAGGGACGAAAGCUAGGGGAGCGAAUGGGAUUAGAUACCCC
rnacentral:rRNA from 1 species